rnacentral:rRNA from 1 species
GACGAACGCUGGCGGCGUGCUUAACACAUGCAAGUCGAACGGAAAGGCCCUGCUUUUGUGGGGUGCUCGAGUGGCGAACGGGUGAGUAACACGUGAGUAACCUGCCCUUGACUUUGGGAUAACUUCAGGAAACUGGGGCUAAUACCGGAUAGGAGCUCCUGCUGCAUGGUGGGGGUUGGAAAGUUUCGGCGGUUGGGGAUGGACUCGCGGCUUAUCAGCUUGUUGGUGGGGUAGUGGCUUACCAAGGCUUUGACGGGUAGCCGGCCUGAGAGGGUGACCGGCCACAUUGGGACUGAGAUACGGCACAGACUCCUACGGGAGGCAGCAGUGGGGAAUAUUGCACAAUGGGCGGAAGCCGGAUGCAGCAACGCCGCGUGCGGGAUGACGGCCUUCGGGUUGUAAACCGCUUUCGCCUGUGACGAAGCGUGAGUGACGGUAAUGGGUAAAGAAGCACCGGCUAACUACGUG